GGAGUACUGUGUACGCGUGUGUGUGUUCAGCAAACACUAUAACAAGACGAGCAAUUACACACACACACAGUGCACUCACACACAAGGCCCAGCUCCCGUGUGGCAGGUGAGUGUGUGUGUGUGUGCAGGAGUGUGUGUGUGCUUCUUGCUGGCGGCCUCAUGCCACUUCUGGAGGAAGCAGAGAAAGACCUCACCACCUCCCGACAUCUUACAGGGUCGUCCGCUAUCCCAUCUCUCCCUGCUGCAGCUGUGUGAGGAGCGAUGUUCCAUGGUCGCCGUGGAGACGGCUGUCACAGCAACCAGCACGAGGCGGAGCCACCAGGUGGAAGGGGAGGGGCUUCUGGAGAGGAGAGAGAGUGUGUCUGACGACUCGGGACUGGAGAGGAGAGAGAGUGUGUGUGAGGGGGGGAGUCAGGAGAGGAGUGUGUGUGUGCGGUCAGCGGACAGGAGAGUGUGUGUGUGCGACGACUCGGGAGUGUGUUCUGCAGACGACAGCUCAGACUCCAGCUGCUCUCUACAACACACACACACACACACACACACACUGAGUGUGUCCCCUGAGGAUUGCACUGUCCCACCGCACUGCUCCAUUGGGGUGUCUGCUGGCCUGCCUCCUUCCAAGGUUGAGGCAUAAAUGCAAUUUGGUUGCGUGCACAAUAUGAUGUGUCGGGAUUUUCCUAAUGAGACUUACACACAC